rnacentral:rRNA from 1 species
GUGGAUUGUAAACCUCUUUUGAUAGGGAAGAAGACAGUGACGGUACCUAUCGAAUCAGCCUCGGCUAACUCCGUGCCAGCAGCCGCGGUAAUACGGAGGAGGCAAGCGUUAUCCGGAAUUAUUGGGCGUAAAGAGUCCGUAGGUGGGUCACCCAGUCAGCUGUUAAAUAGUGAAGCUUAACUUCAUAGAGGCGGCUGAAACUGGUGGUCUAGAGAGUGGUAGGGGUAGAGGGAAUUUCCAGUGUAGCGGUGAAAUGCGUAGAUAUUGGAAAGAACACCGGUGGCGAAAGCGCUCUACUGGGCCAUUACUGACACUGAGGGACGAAAGCUAGGGGAGCGAAAGGGAUUAGAUACCCCAGUAGUCUA